UACGUAGGGGGCAAGCGUUGUCCGGAAUCAUUGGGCGUAAAGCGCGUGUAGGCGGUCCGGUAAGUCCGCUGUGAAAGUCCAGGGCUCAACCCUGGGAUGCCGGUGGAUACUGUCGGGCUAGAGUACGGAAGAGGCGAGUGGAAUUCCCGGUGUAGCGGUGAAAUGCGCAGAUAUCGGGAGGAACACCAAUUGCGAAGGCAGCUCGCUGGGACGUUACUGACGCUGAGACGCGAAAGCGUGGGGAGCAAACGGG
rnacentral:rRNA from 1 species